rnacentral:rRNA from 1 species
GACAGAGGAGCCAAGCGUUGUCCGGACUGACUGGGCGUAAAGCGCCCGCAGGCGGAUGCGCGCGUGGGGUGUGAAAUCUGGCCGCUUAACGGCCAGGCGCCAUCCCAUACGGCGCGUCUGGAGCUAUGCAGAGGUCGGUGGAAUUGCCGGUGUAGUGGUGAAAUGCGUAGAGAUCGGCAGGAACACCCAGGGGGAAACCAGCCGACUGGGCAUAUGCUGACGCUGAGGUGCGAGAGCGUGGGGAGCGAACCGG